rnacentral:snRNA from 1 species
AUAUUGCUGGCAUAGGGGUUACCGUGAUCACUAAGGCGGUUCCCCCAGGGCGAGGCCCUUCCAUUGCACUUCGGUUGGGUUGACUAGGGGACGGACCUGGUGUAGUGGUUAGAACACUCGCCUCUCACGCCGAGGUUUA